CCAGGGGUGGUGGUGGUGGGUGUCCUGCAGGCCAGCGUCCAAAUUCUCCUGCCCCCACCGCGUCCUCAGCGGACGUGUCCGGGCCGCACCCUAGGGACGCGCCGGGAAAGUUCAGGCGCGAAGAAGCAAAAGCGCGCGCCGCCCCCGCCCCCACCGUGGUCCAGCCGCAGACAAUGGAAGCACGGCAUCUGCCCCACCACUCGGGAGAGCCCCGCAGGACUGUGCCCCGCAGCCCCCAGUCCCUGCCUCGCCAGCGUACGGGGCUCCGAGGUCCAAGGGUCCUCCGAGUGCCUGUCCUCCAUGCAUUUCAGUUUCUUCUGGAGGUGCAGCAGCUGCUCUUCCACCUGGGGACACAGAAGGGGACGAGUCAGCCUAAUGGUCUGUGCCCGGCGUUUGGGAGGUUGAGGCAGAAGAAGGCCUGGCAGUUUGAGGCCCUGCAAAUGAACACCAAGUCUAUAUGAGCUGGUGAGAUGGCUCCACAGGGAAAGGUGCUUGCGGCCAAGCCUGAUGCCCAGAGUCCAUAAACCUCACACAUGUGCCGCGGCCGUGUCAAUGUAGAAAGUAAAAGAGUUAUACAAAGAAGGUCUUGUUCAGAGGACACAAGUUUGUGAAAGUAAAAGAAUGCAGUGCUCCUGUUCUGAGAGUGAAUCUGUCCCCACCUCCCGCUGGAGGCGUCCCCUCAGUUUGAGAACCACUCAGCCAUGUGACACCAACUAGCUGACUCCUGUGUCAACUCCACAGGGUCUACUGCAUCUCCUGCUGCUCCUGACUCCCCGGCCACAGCCCUCCUCUGUGGGACAGAGCUUCCUGUCCUCCCUCAGCAGGAAGCACCAAGGGUGGCUGCCUUUCUGUAGAUUACCACCCACCAGCCAGCUCUUACCCACCCCCCACAGGACUGGAACCCAGUUCUUAAAAUAAAUUUGAUACGGACUCCAUGCUGGCACCAAGACUCCUCUCUGUGGACAGUAAGUGUCAAGGGAGAUGAUUACAUCUGCUGCCUUUUCCUCUUGACCCUGGAUUUCCUCCCGAGGGGAGUGCUUGUCAGAGGCGCACUCCCUGACAAGUGGAUAGGAGUGCGAGCCCACUCUCCAGGUAGCAGACCCAGGCUUAGCCAAGCCAGCAGAGAGCUGUCCCAGCUGCCUUGCCUUACAUCUCCAAGGCCACUCUGGGCGUGGUUCCAGUCAGCCUCUAGACGGAUGUGACUGGUCCAUCCCAUUGUUCCAAGAACUUCAGGCUAAAGGGAGGGCCUUGACCUCUGGGCAGAGAGCCUGGCGUCUUGCUCCCAGCCCCAGACAUGUGACCCCCCCUGGUCCCUUUUCUGGCCUUAGUUUCCCCAUCUACAGGACGAAAACCUUGAUCGGGUGAACUUUGAACAUUCUAGGGCAGGCAGCUGUCUUUGA